rnacentral:rRNA from 1 species
UGGGGAAUUUUGGACAAUGGGCGAAAGCCUGAUCCAGCAAUGCCGCGUGUGUGAAGAAGGCCUUCGGGUUGUAAAGCACUUUUGUCCGGAAAGAAAUCCUUGGCUCUAAUACAGUCGGGGGAUGACGGUACCGGAAGAAUAAGCACCGGCUAACUACGUGCCAGCAGCCGCGGUAAUACGUAGGGUGCAAGCGUUAAUCGGAAUUACUGGGCGUAAAGCGUGCGCAGGCGGUUUGCUAAGACCGAUGUGAAAUCCCCGGGCUCAACCUGGGAACUGCAUUGGUGACUGGCAGGCUAGAGUAUGGCAGAGGGGGGUAGAAUUCCACGUGUAGCAGUGAAAUGCGUAGAGAUGUGGAGGAAUACCGAUGGCGAAGGCAGCCCCCUGGGCCAAUACUGACGCUCAUGCACGAAAGCGUGGGGAGCAAACAGGAUUAGAUACCCUGGUAGUCCACGCCCUAAACGAUGUCAACUAGUUGUUGGGAUUCAUUUCCUUAGUACGUAGCUAACGCGUGAAGUUGACCGCCUGGGGAGUACGGUCG